CAUUACUUACACAAAACUAAAAGUGUUGGAUUUAAAUAAUAUUUGUGUAUAUUGCUUUAGCCAAAAAGAGAUAAGUGUUAAAUAAGAUAAGUAUAUAAUUUAAAUUCGUAAAAAUGUCGGAUUAGAAAGAAAUUUCAUUCUCCCGCCCUACACCCAAAAAGGCAUUCAAGAAACUAUUUCAUUUUACCGCCCUACAUUCAAAAAACUAUAUCUUAAGAAGUCGGGCAGUUUUCAGGCUCUCAUUGCCACAAUCUUAGUGGAGUUUAGAUUGCCAAGUCCUCUGCUCCGGUAAAUCCCCACUACCCUAUCCAAAUGCUCCGAAAGAGUCACCUUUGAGUCAAUUUCCGGCCGCUAAGACAACUGCGCGGAGCUGAUCAAACUGAGGGCGCCUGUGGGAAGAUGCAUCAAGUUCUCCUAGGAAUGUUAAGCGGCGGCGCCGCCUCCAACCUUCCCCGCCGUCAGAAGACCUCAGCUGCCAAGAAGGUAUAAUCUUCAUCCAGUUGGUGUGAAAUCAGUUCAGAGGGUGACUAAAGAAAUUGUGCCCAUGAAGGAGAUGAAAAUGGAUUGGGUCUCUUUAGAAAAGGUAUCAGAAUUUCCUUUAAAGUUUCUCCUGCUCAUUUCGUGUGUCAUAUUGUUGACAACUUUUCCAUUGAUCUUAUAACACUUGUGUCCAAGAGUUGCUACUUCUUGCAGGGCUGGUCUAAGACAUCUCAAUAUAGAGCGUAAAAGAAGUUCGAGUAUUGCCUACCUUGUGAGUGAAAAUGCUAUAUUUUCUGAAGGAUUUCUAUUGCUUUCAUUUAUUAUUGCCCUUCCAAUUCUUGCAAUUUCUAGGUCUAAAGGAUUUUUUUAUAUGAUUGAUCUGGCAGAAAGCACACUUUAUUUUCUUAACUUUAGUUGCACCCUCUCUGUUUUUGUCAGGUAAGAGUGUUUUGUGGCAUAUGUAUUCAUCUUAUUGAAUCCAAUUAAGUUGUGUUUAAUUAAUAUAUAGAUGUGUAUCUUGAAUAAUUUUGUGUUUUUAUUAUCUUUACAGGAAUAACUGAAGCAGAUGUCAAUAUGCAGUUUAACCAAUACGUUGGAUUACUUUUCGUCAACGAAGCUUCAUAGAAAAUUAGAAUAGUUUGAUCAAUUGUGUAGUAUUAUUAUGUAAUGCUUUUUAUAGUUGUGACAUAAAUAAUGUGUACUUUGAUAUUAUUAAUAAAGUAAAUAUUUUUAUAUAAUCA